rnacentral:rRNA from 1 species
GACGAACGCUGGCGGCGUGCCUAAUACAUGCAAGUCGAACGCUGAAGAGAGGAGCUUGCUCUUCUUGGAUGAGUUGCGAACGGGUGAGUAACGCGUAGGUAACCUGCCUUGUAGCGGGGGAUAACUAUUGGAAACGAUAGCUAAUACCGCAUAACAAUGGCUGACACAUGUCAUUUAUUUGAAAGGGGCAAUUGCUCCACUACAAGAUGGACCUGCGUUGUAUUAGCUAGUAGGUGAGGUAAUGGCUCACCUAGGCGACGAUACAUAGCCGGGCUGAGAGGGUGAUCGGCCACACUGGGACUGAGACACGGCCCAGACUCCUACGGGAGGCAGCAGUAGGGGAUCUUCGGCAAUGGGGGCAACCCUGACCGAGGAACGCCGCGUGAGGGAAGAAGGUUUUCGGAUCGUAAAGCUCUGUUGUAAGUCAAGAACGGGUGUGAGAGUGGAAAGUUCACACUGUGACGGUAGCUUACCAGAAAGGGACGGCUAACUACGUG